rnacentral:rRNA from 1 species
UACGUAGGGGGCAAGCGUUGUCCGGAUUUAUUGGGCGUAAAGAGCGCGUAGGCGGCCAUACAGGUCCGUUGUGAAAACUGGAGGCUUAACCUCCAGACGUCGAUGGAAACCGUAUGGCUAGAGUCCGGAAGAGGAGAGUGGAAUUCCUGGUGUAGCGGUGAAAUGCGCAGAUAUCAGGAAGAACACCCGUGGCGAAGGCGGCUCUCUGGGACGGUACUGACGCUGAGACGCGAAAGCGUGGGGAGCGAACAGG